UACGUAGGUGGCAAGCGUUGUCCGGAUUUACUGGGCGUAAAGGGCGUGCAGGCGGUUUGUUAAGUCUAGGGUGAAAGCUCCCGGCUCAACUGGGAGAGGUCCUUGGAUACUGGCGAACUUGAGGGAUGCAGAGGAAAGUGGAAUUCCCGGUGUAGUGGUGAUAUGCGUAGAUAUCGGGAGGAACACCUGUGGCGAAAGCGGGUCUCUGGGCCGAUACUGACACUGAGGAGCGAAAGCGUGGGGAGCGAACAGG
rnacentral:rRNA from 1 species